rnacentral:rRNA from 1 species
GAUGAACGCUGGCGGCGUGCCUAAUACAUGCAAGUCGAGCGAACAGAUGAGGAGCUUGCUCCUCUGACGUUAGCGGCGGACGGGUGAGUAACACGUGGAUAACCUACCUAUAAGACUGGGAUAACUUCGGGAAACCGGAGCUAAUACCGGAUAAUAUAUUGAACCGCAUGGUUCAAUAGUGAAAGACGGUUUUGCUGUCACUUAUAGAUGGAUCCGCGCCGCAUUAGCUAGUUGGUAAGGUAACGGCUUACCAAGGCAACGAUGCGUAGCCGACCUGGGGGGGUGAUCGGCCACACUGGAACUGAGACACGGUCCAGACUCCUACGGGAGGCAGCAGUAGGGAAUCUUCCGCAAUGGGCGAAAGCCUGACGGAGCAACGCCGCGUGAGUGAUGAAGGUCUUCGGAUCGUAAAACUCUGUUAUUAGGGAAGAACAAAUGUGUAAGUAACUAUGCACGUCUUGACGGUACCUAAUCAGAAAGCCACGGCUAACUACGUG